AGUGAACGCUGGCGGCAGGCCUAAUACAUGCAAGUCGAACGGCAGCACAGUGGAGCUUGCUCCAUGGGUGGCGAGUGGCGGACGGGUGAGGAAUACAUGGGAAUCUGCCCAGUCGUGGGGGAUAACGUAGGGAAACUUACGCUAAUACCGCAUGCGCCCUUCGGGGGAAAGCCGGGGACCUUCAGGCCUGGCGCGAUUGGAUGAGCCCAUGUUCGAUUAGCUAGUUGGCGGGGUAAAGGCCCACCAAGGCGACGAUCGAUAGCUGGUCUGAGAGGAUGAUCAGCCACACUGGGACUGAGACACGGCCCAGACUCCUACGGGAGGCAGCAGUAGGGAAUAUUGGACAAUGGGCGCAAGCCUGAUCCAGCCAUGCCGCGUGAGUGAAGAAGGCCCUCGGGUUGUAAAGCUCUUUUGUCCGGGAAGAAAAGCAUCGGGCUAAUACCUCGGUGUUCUGACGGUACCGGAAGAAUAAGCACCGGCUAACUUCGUG
rnacentral:rRNA from 1 species